rnacentral:rRNA from 1 species
UACGUAGGGGGCAAGCGUUGUCCGGAUUUAUUGGGCGUAAAGCGCGUGUAGGCGGCCAGGUAGGUCCGCUGUGAAAACCCGAGGCUCAACCUCGGGACGUCGGCGGAAACCAUCUGGCGAGAGUCCGGAAGAGGAGAGUGGAAUUCCUAGUGUAGAGGUGAAAUUCGUAGAUAUUAGGAAGAACACCAGUGGCGAAGGCGGCUCACUGGCCCGGUACUGACGCUGAGGCGCGAAAGCGUGGGGAGCAAACAGG